GGUUAUUUUCCGCAAUGGGCGAAAGCCUGACGGAGCAAUACCGCGUGAGGGACGACGGCUUUUGGGUUGUAAACCUCUUUUCCCUGGGAAGAAGAUCUGACGGUACCAGGGGAAUCAGCAUCGGCUAACUUCGUGCCAGCAGCCGCGGUAAUACGAGGGAUGCAAGCGUUAUCCGGAAUUAUUGGGCGUAAAGCGUCCGCAGGUGGCUUUGUAAGUCUGUCGUUAAAGCGUGGAGCUCAACUCCAUAUCGGCGAUGGAAACUACAAGACUAGAGUUUGGUAGGGGUCACGGGAAUUCCUAGUGUAGCGGUGAAAUGCGUAGAUAUUAGGAAGAACACCAGCGGCGAAAGCGCGUGACUGGGCCAAUACUGACACUCAUGGACGAAAGCUAGGGGAGCGAAAGGGAUUAGAUACCCCUGUAGUCCUAGCCGUAAACGAUGAUAACUAGGUGUUGCUCGUAUCGACCCGAGCAGUGCCGUAGCCAACGCGUUAAGUUAUCCG
rnacentral:rRNA from 1 species